UUAUUGGAGAGUUUGAUCCUGGCUCAGGACGAACGCUGGCGGCGUGCCUAAUACAUGCAAGUCCAGGCGGUAGCAGCAAACCGCUGGGAACGCCAGGUUAGCGGCGGACGGGUGAGUAACACGUAGGCAACCUGCCUGUAAGACCGGGAUAACUUGCGGAAACGUGAGCUAAUACCGGAUAGCUGGUUUCUUCGCAUGAAGUCAUGAAAGACGGGGCAACCUGUCACUUACAGAUGGGCCUGCGGCGCAUUGGCUAGUUGGUAGGGUAACGGCUUGCAAGGCGACGAUGCGUAGCCGACCUGAGAGGGUGAACGGCCACACUGGGACUGAGACACGGCCCAGACUCCUACGGGAGGCAGCAGUAGGGAAUCUUCCGCAAUGGACGAAAGUCUGACGGAACAACGCCGCGCGUGAGUGAUGAAGAUUUUCGGAUCGUAAAGGCUCUGUUGCCAAGGAAAGGCGGCCAGGGGAGUAACUCCCCUGGAGUGACGGUACUUGAAGAAAGCUGCGGCUAACCGUUGCGCUUAUGCGGUAAUACGUAGGGGGCAAGCGUUGUCAGAUUAUUGGGCGUAAAGCGCGCGCAGGCGGUCUUUUAAGUCUGGUGUGCAAGCGGGGCUCAACCCCGGUUCGCACUGGAAACUGGGAGACUUGAGUGUAGGAGAGGAAAGUGGAAUUCCACGUGUAGCGGUGAAAUGCGUAGAGAUGUGGAGGAACACCAGUGGCAGAAACUUUCUACAGCUAUAACUGACGCUGAGGCGCGAAAGCGUGGGGCAAACAGGAUUAGAUACCCUGGUAGUCCACGCCGUAAACGAUGAAUGCUAGGUGUUAGGGGUUCCGAUACCCUUGGUGCCGAAGUUAACGUCGCCUUCCGCCUGAGUACGGUCGCAAGACUGAAACUCAAAGGAAUUGACGGGGACCCGCACAAGCAGUGGAGUAUGGUUUAAUUCGAAGCAACGCGAAGAACCUUACCAGGCCUUGACAUCCCUCUGGCCGGUUUAGAGAUAGAUCUUUUCCUUCAGGGAUUAGAGGAGACAGGUGGUGCAUGGUUGUCGUCAAUGUCGUGAGAUGUUGGGUUAAGUCCACAUGUGAGCUGCUCCCUUGAUCUUAGUUGCCAGCACGCAGAGGUGGGCACUCUAAGAUGACUGCCGGUGACAAACCGGAGGAAGGUGGGGAUGACGUCAAAUCAUCAUGCCCUUAUGGCCUGGGCUACGCACACGUACUACAAUGGUCGGUACAACGGGAAGCGAAGGGAGCGAUCGAGCCAAUCCUCAAAAGCCGAUCUCAGUUCGGAUUGCAGGCUGCAACUCGCCUGCAUGAAGUCGGAAUUGCCCCAAUAAUCGCGGAUCAGCAUGCCGCGGUGAAUACGUUCAGGUCUUGUACACACCGCCCGUCACACCACGAGAGUUUACAACACCCCUGAAGUCGGUGGUAACCGCAAGGGGCCAGCCGCCGAAGGUGGGGUAGAUGAUUGGGGUGAAGUCGUAACAAGGUAGCCGUAUCGGAAGGUGCGGCUGGAUCACCUCCUUU
rnacentral:rRNA from 1 species